AUUGAACGCUGGCGGCAGGCCUAACACAUGCAAGUCGAGCGGAUGAAGGGAGCUUGCUCCUGGAUUCAGCGGCGGACGGGUGAGUAAUGCCUAGGAAUCUGCCUGGUUGUGGUGGAUAACGUCCGGAAACGGGCGCUAAUACUGCAUACGUCCUGAGGGAGAAAGUGGGGGAUCUUCGGACCUCACGCUAUCAGAUGAGCCUAGGUCGGAUUAGCUAGUUGGUGGGGUAAAGGCCUACCAAGGCGACGAUCCGUAACUGGUCUGAGAGGAUGAUCGGUCACACUGGAACUGAGACGCGGUCCAGACUCCUACGGGAGGCAGCAGUGGGGAAUAUUGGGCAGUGGGCGAAAGCCUGAUCCAGCCAUGCCGCGUGUGUGAAGAAGGUCUUCGGAUUGUAAAGCACUUUAAGUUGGGAGGAAGGGCAGUAAGUUAAUACCUUGCUGUUUUGACGUUACCAACAGAAUAAGCACCGGCUAACUUCGUG
rnacentral:rRNA from 1 species